AAUAGCCUAACGGCUGAACCAGCAACUUGGAGGAAUGAAUAGCAAUAGCUAAUUGUACAAAUAUAUGAUGCAAUAUUGACUCAGUCGAAUAAAAUUCUGGCUAGAAUUAUGAUAAUGACAUUGUUUAGCCAUGUGCCUUGACCAAAUUACGUGCCAGCAGUCGCGGUAAUACGUAGAAGACUAGUGUUAUUCAUCUUUAAUAGGUUUAAAGAGUACCUAGGCGGUAAAUCAAGCCCUAGACGGGACUAAUUUGCUAGAGUUACUUAUACGGGGGUUUUAAAGUACUAAUGGUGUAGAGAUAAAAUUUUGUAAUACCAUUUUUUGAAAGAAAAGUGAUGGCACUGGUAAAGGCGAAAGCAUCCCCUUAUGUGAUAACUGACGUUGAAGGACGAAGGCUUUGGAUCGCGAAUAGGAUUAGAUACCCUAGUAGUCGAAGCAGAAAAUUAUGAAUGUCAUAGAUUAGAGAUUAAUUUUAUUCUAUAAAUGAAAGUGUAAACAUUCCACCUCAAGAGUAAUUUGGCAACAUUGAAACUGAAAUCAUUAGACCGUUUCUGAA
rnacentral:rRNA from 1 species